ACUCAAAUGAAUUGACGGGGGCUCACACAAGCGGUGGAGCAUGUGGCUCAAUUCGAGGCUACGCGAAGAACCUUAUCCUAGGCUUGACAUGUGCGAAAGCGCUGGGAAGUAGUUUACGGAAACGUGUAACCAACGGUAUCCAGUCCGGAACCCAGUACAGGUGCUGCAUGGCUGUCGUCAGCUCGUGUCGUGAGAUGUUGGGUUAAGUCCCGUAACGAGCGAAACCCUUGUUUCCAGUUGCCAGCGGGUCAUGCCGGGGACUCUGGAAAGACUGCCGGUGUUAAACCGGAGGAAGGUGGGGAUGACGUCAAGUCCUCAUGGCCUUUAUGCCUAGGGCUGCACACGUGCUACAAUGGCGUGAACAAAGGGACGCAAACGCGCGAGCGGGAGCAAAUCUCAAAAAGCACGCCCCAGUUCAGAUUGAAGGCUGCAACUCGCCUUCAUGAAGUUGGAAUCGCUAGUAAUCGCAGGUCAGCAACACUGCGGUGAAUGUGUUCCUGAGCCUUGCACACACCGCCCGU
rnacentral:rRNA from 1 species